rnacentral:ncRNA from 1 species
GACUCAUCAAGAGCAGUGGAGGGACUGGCCCUGUGAAGCUGCGGCAACCAUUGAUAUGCUUGAAUAUCAAAACGGUGCUAAUUCCUGAAGGCUGUUGGCCUUAAGAUGAGAG